CCUACGGGAGGCAGCAGUGGGGAAUAUUGCACAAUGGGGGAAACCCUGAUGCAGCGACGCCGCGUGAGCGAAGAAGUAUUUCGGUAUGUAAAGCUCUAUCAGCAGGGAAGAAAAUGACGGUAAGUAAGUAAGCAGCUCCGGCCAAAUACGUGCCAGCAGCCGCGGUAAUACGUAUGGCGCAAGCGUUCUCCGGUUUUACUGGGCGGAAAGGGAGCGUAGGCGGCCUGCCAAGUCUGAUGCGAAAGACCCGGGCUCAACCCGGGGGCAGCAUUGGAAACUGGCAGGCUGGAGUGCCGGAGAGGCGGGCGGAAUUCCUAGUGUAGCGGUGAAAUGCGUAGAUAUUAGGAGGAACACCAGUGGCGAAGGCGGCCCUCUGGACGGUGACUGACGCUGAGGCUCGAAAGCGUGGGGAGCAAACAGGAUUAGAUACCCCAGUAGUC
rnacentral:rRNA from 1 species